UACGAAGGUGGCUAGCGUUGUUCGGAAUCACUGGGCGUAAAGCGCACGUAGGCGGAUGUGUCAGUCAGGGGUGAAAUCCCGGAGCUCAACUUCGGAACUGCCUCUGAUACAGCACGUCUUGAGUCCGAUAGAGGUGGGUGGAAUUCCUAGUGUAGAGGUGAAAUUCGUAGAUAUUAGGAAGAACACCGGUGGCGAAGGCGGCCCACUGGAUCGGUACUGACGCUGAGGUGCGAAAGCGUGGGGAGCAAACAGG
rnacentral:rRNA from 1 species